CGACCCCAGGUCAGGCGGGACUACCCGCUAAGUUUAAGCAUAUAAAUAAGCGGAGGAGAAGAAACUUACAAGGAUUCCCCUAGUAACGGCGAGCGAACCGGGAGCAGCCCAGCUUGAGAAUCGGGCGGCUGUGCUGUCCGAAUUGUAGUCUGGAGAGGCGUCCUCAGCGACGGACCGGGCCCAAGUCCCCUGGAAAGGGGCGCCUGGGAGGGUGAGAGCCCCGUCCGGC
rnacentral:ncRNA from 1 species